GUGCCAGCAGCCGCGGUAAUACGUAGGGUGCGAGCGUUAAUCGGAAUUACUGGGCGUAAAGCGUGCGCAGGCGGUUUUGUAAGACAGAUGUGAAAUCCCCGGGCUUAACCUGGGAACUGCGUUUGUGACUGCAAGGCUAGAGUACGGCAGAGGGGGGUGGAAUUCCACGUGUAGCAGUGAAAUGCGUAGAUAUGUGGAGGAACACCAAUGGCGAAGGCAGCCCCCUGGGUCGAUACUGACGCUCAUGCACGAAAGCGUGGGUAGCAAACAGGAUUAGAUACCCUGGUAGUCCACGCCCUAA
rnacentral:rRNA from 1 species